GUGGGGAAUAUUGGACAAUGGGCGAAAGCCUGAUCCAGCCAUGCCGCGUGUGUGAAGAAGGUCUUCGGAUUGUAAAGCACUUUAAGUUGGGAGGAAGGGUAGUAACCUAAUACGUUGCUACUUUGACGUUACCGACAGAAUAAGCACCGGCUAACUUCGUGCCAGCAGCCGCGGUAAUACGAAGGGUGCAAGCGUUAAUCGGAAUUACUGGGCGUAAAGCGCGCGUAGGUGGUUUUGUAAGUUGGAGGUGAAAUCCCCGGGCUCAACCUGGGAACUGCCUCCAAAAAUGCAUGACUAGAGUACGGUAGAGGGUAGUGGAAUUUCCUGUGUAGCGGUGAAAUGCGUAGAUAUAGGAAGGAACACCAGUGGCGAAGGCGACUACCUGGACUGAUACUGACACUGAGGUGCGAAAGCGUGGGGAGCAAACAGGAUUAGAUACCCGAGUAGUCC
rnacentral:rRNA from 1 species